UGGGGGAUAUUGCACAAUGGGAGGAAACUCUGAUGCAGCAACGCCGCGUGAAGGAUUGAAGGUCUUCGGAUUGUAAACUUUUGUACUUGGGGACGAUAAUGACGGUACCCAAGCAGCAAGCUCCGGCUAACUACGUGCCAGCAGCCGCGGUAAUACGUAGGGAGCAAGCGUUGUCCGGAUUUACUGGGUGUAAAGGUGCGUAGGCGGCUAUGCAAGUCAGUUGUGAAAACUAUGGGCUCAACCCAUAGCCUGCAAUUGAAACUGCGUGGCUUGAGUGAAGUAGAGGUAGGUGGAAUUCCCGGUGUAGCGGUGAAAUGCGUAGAGAUCGGGAGGAACACCAGUGGCGAAGGCGACCUACUGGGCUUUAACUGACGCUGGGCACGA
rnacentral:rRNA from 1 species